UGAGGAAUAUUGCGCAAUGGGGGCAACCCUGACGCAGCAACGCCGCGUGAGUGAGGAAGGUUUUCGGACCGUAAAGCUCUGUCGAGCGGGAAGAAAUGAAUCAUGGCUAAUAUCCAUGGUACUUGACGGUACCGCUAGAGGAAGCACCGGCUAACUCCGUGCCAGCAGACGCGGUAAUACGGGGGGUGCAAGCGUUGUUCGGAAUUAUUGGGCGUAAAGAGCGUGUAGGCGGCUGGAUAAGUCAGAUGUGAAAUCCCUGGGCUUAACCCAUGACGGGCAUUUGAAACUAUCCAGCUUGAGUAAUGGAGAGGAAAGUUGAAUUCCUGGUGUAGAGGUGAAAUUCGUAGAUAUCAGGAGGAACACCGGUGGCGAGUGCGACUUUCUGGCCCUAUGCUGACGCUGUGACGCGAGAGCGUGGGUAGCAAACA
rnacentral:rRNA from 1 species